rnacentral:rRNA from 1 species
GUAGGUGGCAGAGUAUGUCUGUAGUGAAAGCGUGUGGCUCAACCAUAUACACAUUACAGAAACUGCUCAGCUAGAGGGCGAGAGAGGUUACUAGAAUUCCUAGUGUAGGAGUGAAAUCCGUAGAUAUUAGGAGGAAUACCGAUGGCGUAGGCAGGUAACUGGCUCGUCCCUGACACUAAGGCACGAAAGCGUGGGGAGCAAACGGGAUUAGAUACCCCGGUAGUCCACGCUGUAAACGAUGGAUGCUAGCUGUAAGAGGUAUCGACCCCUCUUGUAGCGAAGCUAACGCGUUAAGCAUCCCGCCUGUGGAGUACGGUCGCAAGACUAAAACAUAAAGGAAUUGACGGGGACCCGCACAAGCGGUGGAGCGUGUUGUUUAAUUCGAUGGUAAACGAAGAACCUUACCCAGGUUUGACAUCCUUGGAAUUUUGCCGAAAGGCGAGAGUGCUUUAUUGAGCCAAGUGACAGGUGUUGCAUGGCCGUCGUCAGCUCGUGUCGUGAGAUGUUUGGUUAAGUCCAUCAACGAGCGCAACCCUUAUAGUCUGUUGUAUUUUUCAGGCUAGACUGCCCCGGUAACGGGGAGGAAGGAGGGGAUGAUGUCAGGUCAGUAUUACCCUUACAUCUGGGGCUACAAACACGCUACAAUGGCCGGUACAAAGGGCAGCCAAGUCGCGAGACGGAGCAAAUCCCAUCAAAGCCGGUCUCAGUUCGGAUAGCAGGCUGAAACUCGCCUGCAUGAAGUCGGAAUCGCUAGUAACGGUAGGUCAGCUAUACUACCGUGAAUACGUUCCCGGGUCUUGUACACACCGCCCGUCAAACAAUGGAAGUUGGGUGUGCCUUAAGACAAUAGCCGCAAGGAGUUGUCCAAGGUAAAACCGAUAACUGGUGUU